rnacentral:sRNA from 1 species
AAGGGUCAAAAGCAAAUAGCCCUCAAGAUCAAACGAACUCAUCUUCGAGUAUACCAUCGGAAAUGGACAUUGUUGGUGAAUCAACUCUGCCUCAAAACACCGUGGUGGCACCUCGACAAACUCCUACUUCUCUUGUUGGAUCUGGAAAUCAUUCCUAUGCAACUCCAAAAGAAGGUGACGCAAGUGACCAAAAAUGGCAGUGGAAGUUAAAAAAAAAGGUGCUAUGUUGCCCCUAGGCCGCCCAAGCAUUAGCAAGCAAAUUGUCAUUCAAACUUGAAAUGAUUGAGCGUUGAUCUUGAGAACUUGAAGAAGUAUGUGCAAGGAUGGAACUUUAGAUGUUUAUUGAAUUUAUAAUCUUAGUUGUAAUGUUUAUUUUAAGUCGAAUAUUUAUUUUAGGUGUGGAAGACUUGAACUUUGGAAUGUUUAUUUUAGGUGUGGAAGACUUGAACUUUGGACUUUUGGAAGAUUUGAACUUUGAUGUUUGUUUAACUUUGGACUUUGGAA